rnacentral:sRNA from 1 species
GCUGCCGUCUUUCCCUAAGUCUGGUCCUGCUUUCAGGUUCCUCUCAGUGCAGCCUCAGCCCGAGGUUCCCUUCCUCUUUCAUCCACGUGUGUGUUUCAGAGGUGGCCAUCCUUCCCUACUUCCAGAUCCUUAUAGGGCAGUUGGUGGAGAGUGGGAGGCACCCCGGUGUUGCCUCCAUGAAGCCCUGUGCCAGUCACUGGGCUGCAAGGCUGAGGAAAUUGUGUCCGCGUCAGAGAAAGCUCCUCAGCUCAGAGGUGCUGGUGCCUCCUGCGUGGUAGGAAGGCAGGGGGAAGAGGCCCUGUUGAUCUUGUUUUCUUUGCCCUUAUGAGACCUGAGAGUCUGUGUCAUCUGUGCCUUGUGUGUCUUUGUUUCAGACUCCCUGCGACAAGGACUGUGUACUGCAUGAAUGAGGCCGAGAUAGUCGAUGUUGCUCUGGGAAUCCUGAUUGAGAGCCGCAAACAGGAAAAGGCCUGCGAGCAGCUGGCCCUGGUGGGGGCUGAUAACCCAGAGCACUCCCCUCCCUGCUCUGUGUCGCCUCACACAAGUUCUGGGAGCAGCAGUGAGGAAGAGGACAGUGGGAAAGAGGCACUGGCUCCAGGCCUCAGCCCUUCCCAGAGGCCGGGGGGUAUCAACUCUGCCUGCAGCAGGAGCCCUGAGGAGGAGGAGGAAGAGGAUGUGUUGAAAUACGUCCGGGAGAUCUUUUUCAGCUAGGGCAUAAACUGUGCACUGAACUGUCUGCCGAGAGCAGCUGGAGGACAGCUGAGCUUCCACUGGUGCUGCUGGGCUGCCCGUCUGUGGGAAUGGGGCUCUUUGUGCUCCUACCUUUGUGCCUUCUUGGGCCUGGCCAGAAGCCCCUGGACACUCCAGGCCUUGGGGCUGCCGUUCUGAGUGUGCAGAAGGCAGGACUCAAAACGAGAUCCCAUUCGAUUCCUUCUGUAUGUACUGUGCCUUCUCCCGGCUCU